rnacentral:lncRNA from 1 species
GCCCAGCGGGCGGGCUCAGGCCUUUGCCCCAAACCGCCGCCGCGGGGCCAAUCGGGCCUUUGGGCGCUCCCGGGCCGCCUUUCCCGGCCCGCGGCUUCCUCCAGCCCGCCCCGCCCCUCGGACUCCCGGGCCGCCCCCGGCCCGCAGUUGGGCCCGGCCUCGCGGCGGCUCGGCAGCUCCGCCGCGCCCGCGAGCCCCGGGAGUCGGCGCGGCGCGUGAACUUUCCAAGGUACUCCAGACUCCUGUGCUCCAAGAAAUCAGACCAUCCAGCGUGUGGAAGCCUCUCCCCGGAGCCCGUCUUCCCAGAGGAUGCUGUGAGUGUCCACUCCCUCGUGACUUUGCUUAUGCUGUGCUUCUGCCAGACAGCUGAAAUGUCUCCUCCUGUCUGAGGUCCUUGCUAAGCCUCCCCACUCUUCCAGCAGGGGCAGCCUUCCACCACGGAGAGCCAGCU